CACGUAGGGGUGCGAGCGUUGUCCGGAAUUAUUGGCGUAAAGAGCUCGUAGGCGGUGUGUCGCGGUCGGCCCGUGAAAACCUGCAGCUUAACUGUGGGCUUGCGGUCGGAUACGGGCAUCACUGGGAGUUCGGGCAGGGGAGACUGGAAUUCCUGGUGUAGCGGUGAAAUGCGCAGAUAAUCAGGAGGAACACCGGUGGCGAAGGCGGGUCUCCGUGGGCCGAUGACUGACGCUGAGGAAGCGAAAGGCGUGGGGAGCGAACAGG
rnacentral:rRNA from 1 species